CAGCAGCCGCGGUAAUACGAGGGGGGCAAGCGUUGUUCGGAAUUAUUGGGCGUAAAGGGCGCGUAGGCGGUUUGGCAAGUUUGGUGUGAAAUCUUCGGGCUCAACUCGAAGUCUGCACCGAAAACUGCCGGGCUUGAGUAUGGGAGAGGUGAGUGGAAUUUCCGGUGUAGCGGUGAAAUGCGUAGAUAUCGGAAGGAACACCUGUGGCGAAAGCGGCUCACUGGACCAUUACUGACGCUGAGGCGCGAAAGCUAGGGGAGCAAACAGGAUUAGAUACCCCUGUAGUCCCUGUCUCUUAUAU
rnacentral:rRNA from 1 species